rnacentral:lncRNA from 1 species
GCCGUUCUCAGGCGAGCCAAUCCUCAGCGCUCCGUCAAGCUCCGAUCUGAGCAAGGCGAACGAAGUUUCGACGCGAAUCCUCGAAGGUAUUACCCCUCUCCUCUUUUAUAUUAUUAUUUUACAAAAUAAGAAAAAAAUCGACAAGAGUAGGAAAAAAAAUAAAAAUAGAGAACGCGAUUCACCUUUAAACUUUGAUUCUUUUUCUCUCUUAUUUUAGUAUCUGUCCUCGUUCUCUUUUUAUUUACAAAUUUGAAUCAGCCUUAUGUAACCGAAAUUAUUAAAAAAAAAACAAUCAAGUCUAAAAAAAAAACCAAUCAAGUCUAUAUCUUUGCUAUUUGCUAUUUUUGCAAUUUCUUUGCGUCUGUUUUGCCAUUUAUUGCGCAGGUUAGCUGGAGGCAAGGCGCACGUGGUGGAGGCCGAUGUGUGUUCGGAGAGGAGCCUGGCUUGGCUGCGGCGCAAAUUGUUCCAGAAACCUUAGGGGUUUCUGGAUGCUUAAGAAAAUGGGCCACUUCGAGUUGGGCUAGGGUUUGGGUCUGUAAUUGGUUAUUAGGCCCCGGGUUUAGUUGAGUUAUAAAUGGAUUAACAGUUUGUAAAUGGACUGGACACUUAUUUGGUUUUAUUUAUUUUUUUGAUGGGCCCGGGCUAAAAUUGGGUAUUACACUACUCACUGACCCAUACUAGAAUCUCAAACUUUUAACCCCAAAAACCGUGGUGUUACAUCAUCAACCUUUUUUAAAAAGGUUGGAACAAGAGAUUCAGCAAGGAGAAUGGAAGCAUGAAACUUUGGUAUGUCCUGUGUAACAACCAUUUUUUAGUAGUACCAA